UAUNGCACAAUGGGGGAAACCCUGAUGCAGCNACGCCGCGUGAAGGAUGAAGUAUUUCGGUAUGUAAACUUCUAUCAGCAGGGAAGAAAAUGACGGUACCUGACUAAGAAGCCCCGGCUAACUACGUGCCAGCAGCCGCGGUAAUACGUAGGGGGCAAGCGUUAUCCGGAUUUACUGGGUGUAAAGGGAGCGUAGACGGUAUGGCAAGUCUGAUGUGAAAACCCGGGGCUCAACCCCGGGACUGCAUUGGAAACUGUCGGACUAGAGUGUCGGAGAGGCAAGUGGAAUUCCUAGUGUAGCGGUGAAAUGCGUAGAUAUUAGGAGGAACACCGGUGGCGAAGGCGGCCUGCUGGACGACAACUGACGCUGAGGCUCGAAAGCGUGGGGAGCGAACAGG
rnacentral:rRNA from 1 species